rnacentral:rRNA from 1 species
ACGAACGCUGGCGGCGUGCCUAAUACAUGCACGUAUAUCGCUGAAGAGAGGAGCUUGCUCUUCUUGGAUGAGUUGCGAACGGGUGAGUAACGCGUAGGUAACCUGCCUUGUAGCGGGGGAUAACUAUUGGAAACGAUAGCUAAUACCGCAUAACAAUGAAUGACACAUGUCAUUUAUUUGAAAGGGGCAAUUGCUCCACUACAAGAUGGACCUGCGUUGUAUUAGCUAGUAGGUGAGGUAACGGCUCACCUAGGCGACGAUACAUAGCCGACCUGAGAGGGUGAUCGGCCACACUGGGACUGAGACACGGCCCAGACUCCUACGGGAGGCAGCAGUAGGGAAUCUUCGGCAAUGGGGGCAACCCUGACCGAGCAACGCCGCGUGAGUGAAGAAGGUUUUCGGAUCGUAAAGCUCUGUUGUAAGUCAAGAACGAGUGUGAGAGUGGAAAGUUCACACUGUGACGGUAGCUUACCAGAAAGGGACGGCUAACUACGUGCCAGCAGCCGCGGUAAUACGUAGGUCCCGAGCGUUGUCCGGAUUUAUUGGGCGUAAAGCGAGCGCAGGCGGUUUGAUAAGUCUGAAGUUAAAGGCUGUGGCUCAACCAUAGUUCGCUUUGGAAACUGUCAAACUUGAGUGCAGAAGGGGAGAGUGGAAUUCCAUGUGUAGCGGUGAAAUGCGUAGAUAUAUGGAGGAACACCGGUGGCGAAAGCGGCUCUCUGGUCUGUAACUGACGCUGAGGCUCGAAAGCGUGGGGAGCGAACAGGAUUAGAUACCCUGGUAGUCCACGCCGUAAACGAUGAGUGCUAGGUGUUGGAUCCUUUCCGGGAUUCAGUGCCGCAGCUAACGCAUUAAGCACUCCGCCUGGGGAGUACGACCGCAAGGUUGAAACUCAAAGGAAUUGACG